CCAUGUACCCUCCCUCCCCUGGUCCAUUGGCAGACCAGCAGCCUCAGCAGGGGGUAGGGGAGGGAAGAGGAGGGCCAUGUGCCAGAGAGCCCCUUUCCUCCCAGCCUCUAGCCAGAUGAUGUGUGUUUCUGUGGAGUGGGACUGUUAGUGAAGGAGCUCUCCGCCUGCCUGUGAACAGAACAGUAUUCAGCAGUAAGUAGCAGGUGCUGUGAGAAGCCUCUCUGUUCCUACUGGACAUCAGGAGCUGCCAGACCUCUCCAGAACCUCUCCAGCAGCCAGAGAAGAGCUCUUGAGGGUCAACGGAGCGAGGCCAGAGAGGGGCGGGUAAACCAUGGACCUGUGUGCCUCCACUCUCGAGCUGCUGGGGAUGGUAGUGUACAUGGCAGCCUGGCUGUGUGCUCUGGCCACCACCCUGAUGCCACAGUGGCUGACCCUGUCCACAGACCUCUUGCUCACAGAGAGCUAUGAGCUGGGUCUCUGGGAGACCUGUGUGGUCCAGGACAUGGGGGGGAUGGAGUGUCGACCCUACGACAGCCUGCUGGGCCUGCCUCAGGACAUCAAGGUGGCCCGUGUCUUCAUGUGUAUCUCCCUGGCUGUGGGCCUGCUGGGCCUGCUGCUGGCUAUCCCUGGUCUUCACCUGGUCAACAGCUUCAGCCAGGGGCUGGAGGGCUGCAGGGCCAAGAGGAUUAUGAAGGUGGCAGGAGGGGUGCUGGGGAUGGUAGCUGGGGUGCUUUCUCUGGUCCCUGUUUCCUAUGUCGCCCACUUGACGGUAAUGCGUUAUUUUGAUGAGUCGGUGCCGGAGGUGGUGCCGCGCUGGGAGUUUGGUGAUGCCCUGUUCUGCGGGUGGGUGGGGGUUCCUCCUGCUGGUGGCUGGAUUACUCCUGUUUGCAUCCUGUCUGGGGCCUCUGGCAGACUAUUACGGUGCACCCCAGGCUGACCAUUCCAGGGGACCCCAGGCAGACUAUUACGGUGCACCCCAGGCUGACCAUUCCAGGGGACCCCAGGCAGACUAUUACGGUGCACCCCAGGCUGACCAUUCCAGGGGACCCCAGGCAGACUAUUACGGUGCACCCCAGGCUGACCAUUCCAGGGGACCCCAGGCAGACGGAGCACCCCAGGCACAAUCGCAGAAGAGAUACGAGGUCCGGAAUACAGAUCAUUCCUCCAGGAAACCUCCAGAGUAUGUCUGAGGCGAGGGGAAGGGAGAAGAGAGGAGAGGCGAUACGAGGUCCGGAAUACAGAUCAUUCCUCCAGGAAACCUCCAGAGUAUGUCUGAGGCGAGGGGAAGGGAGAAGAGAGGAGAGGCGAUACGAGGUCCGGAAUACAGAUCAUUCCUCCAGGAAACCUCCAGAGUAUGUCUGAGGCGAGGGGAAGGGAGAAGAGAGGAGAGGCGAUACGAGGUCCGGAAUACAGAUCAUUCCUCCAGGAAACCUCCAGAGUAUGUCUGAGGCGAGGGGAAGGGAGAAGAGAGGAGAGGCGAUACGAGGUCCAGAGUAUGGAUCAUUCCUCCAGGAAACCUCCAGAGUAUGUCUGAGGUGAGGGGAUGGGAGGUUUACUGGAGGAAUGAUCCGUACUCCGAACCUCGUAUCUCUUCUCCUCUCUCUGAGGCGAGGGGAGGUGGAAGGAAGGAGAGGGGAGGGGAGAGGUAUUCUAUUCUGGAAGGUUUAUGGAUGAUUCUGCCUCUCUUGAAAAUAGUUAAACUGCCUAAGAACCAGCCCUGGCACGCUGGCUGACUGCUUUUUAUGUCAAACCCAUAGGGAAUACCUGGAGCAACUUUCACAAUACAUUCUUUUUAUGUCAGAUUCAGAGGGAAUUGUUUGGAUGUAAACCUGCUAUAUCCACACCCCAUCCUCCCCGACUCUAUAAAACCUGCUCCAGCCUCACCCCAUCCUCCCUGACUCUAUAAAACCUGCUCUAGCCUCACCCCAUCCUCCCUGACUCUAUAAAACCUGCUCUAGCCUCACCCCAUCCUCCCUGACUCUAUAAAACCUGCUCUAGCCUCACCCCAUCCUCCCUGACUCUUUAAAACCUGCUCUAGCCUCACCCCAUCCUCGCUGACUCUAUAAAACCUGCUCCAGCCUCACCCCAUCCUCGCUGACUCUAUAAAACCUGCUCCAGCCUCACCCCAUCCUCCCUGACUCUUUAAAACCUGCUCCAGCCUCACCCCAUCCUCCCUGACUCUAUAAAAACUGCUCCAGCCUCACCCCAUCCUCGCUGACUCUAUAAAACCUGCUCCAGCCUCACCCCAUCCUCACUGACUCUAUAAAACCUGCUCCAGCCUCACCCCAUCCUCGCUGACUCUAUAAAACCUGCUCCAGCCUCACCCCAUCCUCACUGACUCUAUAAAACCUGAUCCAGCCUCACCCCAUCCUCGCUGACUCUAUAAAACCUGCUCCAGCCUCGCCUCAUCCUCCCUGACGCUGUAAUGCCUGUAUGCAACACUUUCUGACACAUUUUUUUUAAUAAUGUCAAUUUAAUGUAGAAAUGAAUCACUUGAUAUACAGUAAUUGCAAGAAAAAAUAGUUUAUUGUUAUAUAUACAAGUAUAUGUUCACUGAAUUUAAGAUGUUUUUGUAAAUAAUAGUUGACAAUUAUAUCAAUCAUAAAUCAAUAAUCUACUGUAAUGAAUUGAUCUGAAUAAAAUUGGUUUCCCUCCAACAUGCUGAGGUUGACAUCCAGACUACAA